ACGCUCGACACCUACGGGAGACAGCAGUUAGGAAUAUUGGGCAAUGGAGGAAACUCUGACCCAGCAACGCCGCGUGAAGGAAGAAGGUUUUCGGAUUGUAAACUUCUGAUCUAGGGGAAGAAGGAAGUGACGGUACCCUAGGAGAAAGCCACGGCUAACUACGUGCCAGCAGCCGCGGUAAUCUGAGCGGGCUGGCAAGGC
rnacentral:rRNA from 1 species